UACUAUAACACGUUUUUCAUUUGCUGUCGAAGACCCAACUUUUCUGGCAGAAAAAACACCUUCAUUAUUUAAUACUGUGAGAAUUUAUAAAUUUGGGCAGUUCAGCCGCUCUGUUUAUUUUUAUACCAUGUCUUAGUGGGCUUCACAGCAGAGAAAUCCUUUUCUAGUGCUGCUGUCAUCUGGGGAACAAGGAGCUUAAGAGCAUGCUUUUCAUGUUUGUGAAUUACAAAUUACUGGUAAUAAUCUUCCUUGUCCACACUUUGGACACUUUUAUCUUCUCCCAAGGUGGAUAUAGUGCAAGGGGCCAUAAAUUUCAGAUGUGUGUGACAAAAGUUAAGAAACAGCUAUCAAGUUUUUCCAUUUCGGCCAAGCAACCUCGUGAGUGCUAGGCUGCUUCAAGAGGACCGCUGGUUCUAGUUUGUAUCCUUUCUGAAUCCAUGACUGUAGGUUUAAAUUAGAUACGCUGAGGUACUUUCACAAGGUUCUGAGAACAACUGUUUCAGGACAAUCGGGAACUUGGAAGCCUGGUACUUCCAGACAUUGCCUUGCCUUAGAAGCCAAGCCUCUGCCAACUUCAAAUUUUAUUUCAUGUUUAGGAUAAAACACUCGUGGUUUCCGUUGAAUUAAAGCUGUUGUGUUUUCCAGUGCAUCUACUGCAAGUAUGUCUGGUGCAGAAGACAAGAAUCACUGCUGCAUCAUGAGACAAAGAUGUCUUAGCUACUUAACCAGGAUGAAGAGAGAAGUUGAGCUCCUCCAUGAAGCUGUUUGUGCACCAAAAGCCAGAUCACCGCAGUUGUUACGUGGAGCCUGCUCUGGGGUCCUGUUCCCACUAUCAAAUGUUUUACACCGCAUGCUGCCUGGUACUGCUGGGAGGUCAAGAGAGGAUUUGAAGUCUGCACAGAAACAAGACCAUCGUGCUGACAGGGAACACUUACUGUGCAGAAAAGGAUAACUGCCCAAUUAUUGGUUGAAGAGUGGAAAAAAACAUUGGCUUCAUUUUGUAAGAAGCACAUUGUAU